rnacentral:rRNA from 1 species
CCCGCUGAACUUAAGCAUAUUAAUAAGCGGAGGAAAAGAAACUAACAAGGAUUCCCCUAGUAACGGCGAGUGAAGCGGGAAGAGCUCAAGCUUAAAAUCUCCGUGCAAGUUUUGUGCGGCGAAUUGUAGUCUAUAGAAGCGUGGUCAGCAUGGGCACUUGGGGCAAGUUCCUUGGAAGAGGACAGCAUGGAGGGUGAUACUCCCGUUCAUUUCUGAGUUGCUCGUGCGUACGACCCGUUUUCUUUGAGUCGCGUUGUUUGGGAAUGCAGCGCAAAGUAGGUGGUAAAUUCCAUCUAAAGCUAAAUAUUGGUGCGAGACCGAUAGCGAACAAGUACCGUGAGGGAAAGAUGAAAAGAACUUUGAAAAGAGAGUUAAAGAGUACCUGAAACUGCUGAAAGGGAACCGAAUCGUUUCCAGUGUCUAUAAUCCGUGGUAUAUUUCAUUGGCGAGUGUGUGCGUGCGUGUGCUGUGGCAGCGGCUUUUUUGGCUGCGCUCGGCGUGUGUGCUGUGUGUGCUUGCUGGUGCUCUGUGCUGCGGUGGGACGUCAAGGUCAGUUCGUAUGCUGCGGGAAAUGGCUGCCGAGGAGGUAGGGCUUACGCUUGCGUUUGUCUGUUAUAUCUUGGUGGACGAGUAGUCGCGGUUGGGACUGAGGUGCCUACAACGUGCUUUUGAGUGGGUUUGUGUCUCCGUGUGCGCCGUGUGCGGAUAGCUUGCUAUGCGUGUGUGGUUGUGUGUGGAUUGAUGCGAGCUUUAACUUGUUGCCGUUCGGGACGUUGACGAAAUGGAGCGAUUCGACCCGUCUUGAAACACGGACCAAGGAGUCUAACAUGUGUGCAAGUGUUAGGGUGUGGAAACCCCAGCGCGAAAUGAAAGUGAAGGGCAGCGUAAGUUGUCUGAGGUAGGAAAUGCUGCGGGCUUCGGUUUGCGGUGUGGCACUAUCGACCGAUCAUGAACCUUCGUGGUGAAAGAUUUGAGUUUGAGCACAUAUGUUGGUACCCGAAAGAUGGUGAACUAUGCCUGAGUAGGGUGAAGCCAGGGGAAACUCUGGUGGAAGCUCGUAGCGAUUCUGACGUGCAAAUCGAUCGUCAAACUUGGGUAUAGGGGCGAAAGACUAAUCGAACCAUCUAGUAGCUGGUUCCCUCCGAAAUUUCCCUCAGGAUAGCAGCAACUUAUUUACGAUAGUUUUAUGAGGUAAAGCGAAUGAUUAGAGGAUUCGGGGAAGAAACUUCCUCGACCUAUUCUCAAACUUUAAAUCUGUAAGACCUGCAGGUUUCUUAAUUGAACUUGUGGAUGUGAAUAUCAAGUUGCUAGUGGGCCAUACGGGGUAAGCUCGUCUGGCG